rnacentral:rRNA from 1 species
GUGUCAGCCGCCGCGGUAAUACGGAGGGUGCAAGCGUUGUUCGGAAUUAUUGGGCGUAAAGAACGUGUAGGCGGGCCUGUGUGUCAGAUGUGAAAGCCCUCGGCUCAACUGAGGAAGUGCAUCUGAAACUGCAGGUCUUGAGUACGAGAGAGGAGAGUGGAAUUCCCAGUGUAGAGGUGAAAUUCAUAGAUAUUGGGAAGAACACCGGCGGCGAAAGCGGCUCUCUGGCUCGAUACUGACGCUGAGACGUGAAAGCGUGGGGAGCAAACAGGAUUAGAUACCCGCGUAGUCC